GGCCGCCGCAGGGUUGGCGGACUUGAGAAGGAGCAAAAAUGGCGGAGUGAGCUUCGUGGAGGUCCCCUGGCCUUUGGGCCAGGGGGAGGGCCGGACCCCGGGCGCUCGAGUGCUUCUGCUGGCCCGUGCGAGGAAGAACAUUUUCCUUGACUUGUAGGUGCUUUUAUAUUCAUCUCGAAAAGAAAACAAAAUUCUGAACUCAGGAUUUGGCAAGUAUUUCUAUGUUGUCUCCUGGAGUGGGGUUGUCCUGCUUCUUUUAUCGGGCCACCUUCCCUAUUCUUGAAAUGUGGAUAUCUCUUCUCUACACUUUACCUCCAUGAUUUGGACUGGAAAAGGCUGCUUUUCUUUUUGUUCCACCUCUCAGAUUCAAAGAAGAGAAGCGCCUGGGAUGCAGUCAUCCUGCUAACUUCUCUAGGAAGAAAGAAGCAACUGACAAGCAUCUUCUGCUGCAAUUUGCUUAAUCACAAAUAAUUUUACAAGCUGAAGGCUGAUACCAUUUGAAACAGGUGCUUAGAUGGUGAUAUUUGUGAAUUCUUUACCUUUUGUUCCAGACGAGAAGACGAAAUAGCAAGCAUGCGUGACAUCAGGGUGUUUUUUUUAACGUCUUCCAGUUUUAGCAACUGUUGUGAUAAGCACAGUUGAGACUUGCAGCAGUAAAUUCCAAAUAUGUGUUCUAAUUUGAAGUGAAAGAGAUGCUUAAAAAAUUACAUAUAUAUCUAAUACCUGCCUCAUCCUUUAGCAUAGAUUUACUGGAUAAGAACAAAGGUCCAAUUUUGCAGUAAAACCUUUGAUGUGAUAAAGAAGCAUAAAGACAAGAUAUCACAAGGUUAGUUGCAUAUGUGAGUACAUCAUCACAACUGUAUAAAUACACAUUUUUACAUGUGUAAGUCCACAUUUUUGGAUGAUAAGAGGGAUAUUUCUCCUGGAGACGGAAGCUGUGGUGGACUUCUUUCUCAGAAGUCUUUGGAUAUAUGGUAUUUUUUAAAUGUUUUUUCAUUCUUCUAAGGAGUAACCACAUUGUGCAGAUGCUAACCCUAUGAAUGCAUGCUUGGGUUUAGUGAAAGGUUGGUAAAAGGAAACUAAACAGUUUUGAGUCCAGGGAUGGAACCCUCUUCACCACCCUAGGAUGAGAAGCUACUGUAUUAAAAUUAGUUCAUUCUUUUUCAUGCAGUCUUUUUUAUAUAGCACUUGAGACUUGGUGUUACAUGCUGCUAAGGCUGGAAGAAAAGUGGCAAAAGUGGUUUUUCUGUUCAGAAGAUCUGGGAUGGACCCUACAGUAUGACCUGCCUUCACCUUUGGACAUACAGGAGUGGAGAAAAAAAUGAGGAAAGUUUCCAUAUUACUCCUUUCUCCUAAGAAAAAGAAGUGAAAAUGCUUUAUGCAGCUCCACCUGACUUUAUGGCGUUUCACAUUCUAUAGCUCUGUUUUUUGUAAAAGGAUAAGUAACUUUUUUCCUUUGAUCCAAGAUGGGUUCUUGGGUAUUUGAUUUAUUCUUCUAGGCAAUAGGUGUAUGUUCGGCUGAAAAGGCUGGGACUGAGGUAACUUUCCUCAGUUGGAACUGAACUUUCUCAUCAGAGAAUGGGCCUCAGAAGAAAUGUUCCCAGACUGUGGUUGGGUCAAUGUAGAUUUAGAAGAAAUCCAGGGUCUGAAAAAAUUCAGACAAGAAAAACAGUUCCAGUAAGAAAUAAUGAAUUUCCUUUCUUUCUGUUAAAACUUACAACUAUCUGAUGAACAGACGACAGGGUAAAGCCGUCCUUGCUUCCAAAUCAACAGAGGACCAUUGUAUGAAUUGCCAGGUGUUUACAUAAGAAGAAUGAAACCUUUAUAAGUUUUUGUGAGUAGAGAAAGAAUUUACAGCUGGUUAGAUGAAAUUAAGAACAAAUCAUCUUAGAUCAUCUCUGUGAUACAGGGAAUGUUUGCCCAGGGCCAUGCAUGUUGUGCUGCUGAAAUCUUGGGGCAGAUUUACCAGAAUUUGAGAGUGAUAGAAAUAGCCAAAAAUUGGUAAUAUUGAGCACUCUUACUGAUUAGUUAAAUUGGUCAGCCAAUUUGAAUUGGCAUACGGAAGCGUUUUAGUAAAAUAAUUACAUAAUAUAGAUAAAAUAUAAUUUCCUUUAAUUGGGGGCAAUUACUGAGUGGUAAAGCAUAGUAGAAGUAACUUGGAUAAAAGUAACUUAAAUUUUUGUCUAAGUAACUUCUCAGCCACUUCCUGAUGUUUUCUAUCAGUAUUUUGGAAUCGAUAAGGACAGAAUGGAACCUACAUACAUGAGUCCUGUUGGUAUGUUGGGAAUAUCAUAUCAUGGAGAAUUUGUAUCUUCAGUUGUCUGUUACCCAUCCUCCCCAUGUUUUUGGGGGCAACUUUUUGGGUAGGAUUGUUUGGCAGGGGAUAGAGACCCUCUACUGUCAGCACCAGUGAAACUGUCUCUGGCCCACUUGUUUGAAUAAUUGUGUGUGUAUCAGACUCAUCUUCUCCAGUUGCUUUACAGAUUUUCAUUUCAGAGCUAAGAGAACCACUGUUUACUGCUUUCAAGUUGUUUCUGCAUCUUCCAUGAUUUUCACCAGAUGGCAUUUAACAAAAUGGGUAUAUUCCA